rnacentral:rRNA from 1 species
GAUGAACGCUGGCGGCGUGCCUAAUACAUGCAAGUAGAACGCUGAAGGAAGGAGCUUGCUCUUUCCGGAUGAGUUGCGAACGGGUGAGUAACGCGUAGGUAACCUGCCUGGUAGCGGGGGAUAACUAAUGGAAACGAUAGCUAAUACCGCAUAACAGUAGAUGUUGCAUGAUAUCUACUUAAAAGGUGCAAUUGCACCACUACCAGAUGGACCAGCGUUGUAUUAGCUAGUUGGUGAGGUAACGGCUCACCAAGGCGACGAUACAUAGCCGACCUGAGAGGGUGAUCGGCCACACUGGGACUGAGACACGGCCCAGACUCCUACGGGAGGCAGCAGUAGGGAAUCUUCGGCAAUGGACGGAAGUCUGACCGAGCAACGCCGCGUGAGUGAAGAAGGUUUUCGGAUCGUAAAGCUCUGUUGUAAGAGAAGAACGAGUGUGAGAGUGGAAAGUUCACACUGUGACGGUAUCUUACCAGAAAGGGACGGCUAACUACGUG